rnacentral:rRNA from 1 species
AGAGUUUGAUCAUGGCUCAGAUUGAACGCUGGCGGCAGGCCUAACACAUGCAAGUCGAGCGGUAGCACAGAGAGCUUGCUCUCGGGUGACGAGCGGCGGACGGGUGAGUAAUGUCUGGGAAACUGCCUGAUGGAGGGGGAUAACUACUGGAAACGGUAGCUAAUACCGCAUAACGUCGCAAGACCAAAGUGGGGGACCUUCGGGCCUCAUGCCAUCAGAUGUGCCCAGAUGGGAUUAGCUAGUAGGUGGGGUAACGGCUCACCUAGGCGACGAUCCCUAGCUGGUCUGAGAGGAUGACCAGCCACACUGGAACUGAGACACGGUCCAGACUCCUACGGGAGGCAGCAGUGGGGAAUAUUGCACAAUGGGCGCAAGCCUGAUGCAGCCAUGCCGCGUGUGUGAAGAAGGCCUUCGGGUUGUAAAGCACUUUCAGCGGGGAGGAAGGCGAUAAGGUUAAUAACCUUGUCGAUUGACGUUACCCGCAGAAGAAGCACCGGCUAACUCCGUGCCAGCAGCCGCGGUAAUACGGAGGGUGCAAGCGUUAAUCGGAAUUACUGGGCGUAAAGCGCACGCAGGCGGUCUGUCAAGUCGGAUGUGAAAUCCCCGGGCUCAACCUGGGAACUGCAUUCGAAACUGGCAGGCUAGAGUCUUGUAGAGGGGGGUAGAAUUCCAGGUGUAGCGGUGAAAUGCGUAGAGAUCUGGAGGAAUACCGGUGGCGAAGGCGGCCCCCUGGACAAAGACUGACGCUCAGGUGCGAAAGCGUGGGGAGCAAACAGGAUUAGAUACCCUGGUAGUCCACGCCGUAAACGAUGUCGAUUUGGAGGUUGUGCCCUUGAGGCGUGGCUUCCGGAGCUAACGCGUUAAAUCGACCGCCUGGGGAGUACGGCCGCAAGGUUAAAACUCAAAUGAAUUGACGGGGGCCCGCACAAGCGGUGGAGCAUGUGGUUUAAUUCGAUGCAACGCGAAGAACCUUACCUGGUCUUGACAUCCACAGAACUUAGCAGAGAUGCUUUGGUGCCUUCGGGAACUGUGAGACAGGUGCUGCAUGGCUGUCGUCAGCUCGUGUUGUGAAAUGUUGGGUUAAGUCCCGCAACGAGCGCAACCCUUAUCCUUUGUUGCCAGCGGUUAGGCCGGGAACUCAAAGGAGACUGCCAGUGAUAAACUGGAGGAAGGUGGGGAUGACGUCAAGUCAUCAUGGCCCUUACGACCAGGGCUACACACGUGCUACAAUGGCAUAUACAAAGAGAAGCGACCUCGCGAGAGCAAGCGGACCUCAUAAAGUAUGUCGUAGUCCGGAUUGGAGUCUGCAACUCGACUCCAUGAAGUCGGAAUCGCUAGUAAUCGUAGAUCAGAAUGCUACGGUGAAUACGUUCCCGGGCCUUGUACACACCGCCCGUCACACCAUGGGAGUGGGUUGCAAAAGAAGUAGGUAGCUUAACCUUCGGGAGGGCGCUUACCACUUUGUGAUU